rnacentral:rRNA from 1 species
CCUACGGGUGGCUGCAGUCGAGAAUCAUUCACAAUGGGGGAAACCCUGAUGGUGCGACGCCGCGUGGGGGAAUGAAGGUCUCCGGAUUGUAAACCCCUGUCAUGUGGGAGCAAAUUAACAAGAUAGUACCACAAGAGGAAGAGACGGCUAACUCUGUUCCAGCAGCCGCGGUAAUACAGAGGUCUCAAGCGUUGUUCGGAAUCACUUGGCGUAAAGCGUGCGUAGGCUGUUUCGUAAGUCGUGUGUGAAAGGCGCGGGCUCAACCCGCGGACGGCACAUGAUACUGCGAGACUAGAGUGAUGGAGGGGGAACCGGAAUUCUCGGUGUAGCAGUGAAAUGCGUAGAUAUCGAGAGGAACACUGGUGGCGAAGGCGGGUUCCUGGACAUUAACUGACGCUGAGGCACGAAGGCGAGGGGAGCGAAAGGGAUUAGAUACCCGAGUAGUC